GUGAACGUUGUGUUUCUUCUUCACUGGUACCAGCUCCGUUAGGCGGAGUUUAUUUACAUUUUAAGGGCCAUCUCCCAGGGUCACUGUUGAAGAACUCCUCAAAGGCCCCAAGAGAGAAGGGUCCUGCUCUCCAGGCUCUGCUAUUGCUGGGGAUCAGCGUGGCUGGACCACAUAGCUGCGGGCAAUGUGAGACCCAGCCAUGACUCUGACGCAGAGCUACACUGCAAGAGAAGCCCCAGCUGAUACUCAGAAGGACAAUCUGGUGUGAGGGAAGAGGCAGCCUAAGGCAGCAGCCAAGGGCGCGGGCUUGGGGACGAGGCCCCCUGGGGAUUGUUACUGGAGCAAGUUACGUAUCGUCAUUUAGUUUUCUCAUCUUUAAAAGUCAUCGAACAUGCACUAAAAAUUUUCUAGAAGGAUGCACGUUUUAGAAGACUGCACAGAUGGGGACUGAGAUGGGAGACACUUCACUUUGUAUCUUUAUAUAUUUUCAUUUUCGAACCAUGUGGAUGUGUGUACUAUUAAACAGAAUAAAUGACCAAAAAAAAAAAAAAAAAAGACAAGUGAUGAUAGCUUAUUUGUUACAGGGUUACACAGGCCUGAUAUGUGGUAAUUACUCGCAUAAAUUGCAGUUACUAUUAUAGUUAAUACAGGGAUGCUGGCUGCGUCAUCUGUCAGUGUUAUUUGCCCUUAAAUACCCGGCAGUCUCUUUAUCUCAUAUCCAGAUGGAUGCCCUACAUGUACUGGCCUUACAUUGUGUUUAUAAUCAAUGGGAUAAAUUCAGCCCCUUAAAAACAGUCUUGUAAAUGGGUAAAAUGAAUAAAUGAGUACCACUUGCAAAUUAGAUUGUAAAAUGUAUUUUUUUUUUUACUUUUAACACAUUUUAGAGAAUUAUAUUAAAUUAUGGACAAUGGCAUCUGGCAUUGUAUAAUGAACACCUAUAUACCCUUCACUUGUAUUCGCCAAUUGUUAAUGUUUUUGCCAUAUUUGCAUUCUUUCUCUCACACACACACGCACAGACGCAUACAUACGUACGUAUCUUUUUUUCUGAACUAUUUGGAAGUUAAUUGCACAUCUGACACUUUUAUCUCUAAAUCUGUCAGCAUGUGUCUUCUGAGUACAGGACAUUCUCCUGCAUAACCACAGUACAAUGACCAAACCCAGGAAAUUCAACCAUCACCUAAGAUUAUCUAAUGUACAAUCCAUAUUCAAAUGUCCCCAAAGGUCCUAGUAAAUGUUCUGUAUAGCUGUUUACUUUUUGAUCUAGAAUCCUACGUAAGAUCUUCCAUUGCAUUUGGUUGCUCCUUUCUAGAACAUUUCUGUAGGCUUGUUUUGUUUUUCAUGACACUGACAUUUUUGAAGAGCAUAGAUCAGGUUCUGUCCUACCCUCCAUGCCCAGUGUCCUUCAAUUUGUGUCUGUCUGACUCUUUCCUUAUAAUUAGAUUCAGAUUAAUUAGAUCCUGGUUUUGGCAGGAAAACUGCAAUAGAUAAUGUUCCAAUGCCGCCUUUUGUAAAUGUUUUUUAUCCUUCUCUUUUAAAUAUGUGAAGCCAGGAGUAAUUUUUAAAAAUUCUAAUAUUCUUACUCUCAAAUAUCCAGCAGGUCAAUUAUUGGUAAGUGACUCUUGUCAUCAUGUCAUGAUUGAGGCAGCGGGCUAUUUGUACAGAUCACUUGAUUUAAGGGUGACCUACCUGGUAUCUUCUCAUUCGUUGGUCCAUGGAAUCCUACAGUGAGUUUCUGUUCUAUGUCUUGAAAAGAAGCAUGCUUCUGGUUAUUCAUGGUAUAUAUAUGACCUCUUGAUAACUUUUGAUCUUUGCAGCCUUCUGAGAGAAACAGCACAUCCAGGGCAGGAGAUGUUGGCCUCAAGGCAUGAGCCAGCAAUAUUCCGAGGGUUCUAGGAAUGGCGCCUCGCAGUGUGAGCACUAGGUGAAAUUGACCUACCACAGCUCUCAGAGUUCUCGUGCAGUUCUGAUACAGCUCUGCAAUGUGCACGAACGAGGAUAAGCUUCAGAGGGCUAAAAUCAUGGUCUUGGCACCUCAAACAGUCUCAGAUAAAUCAAAAUGGGAUUCCGGAAAAGGGAAAAAGGUCUUGAGACCCAUGAUUUCCAUUUCUGCUAAGGAAAAGACUCGAUGGAAGACACAAAAUAAUGAUGAAAUAGGAAAUAGCCCAGAAAAAGAAGCAUCAAAGAAAGAUUAUUCCUCUAAGAUUUUAUCCUUGGGUAAAAUGGAUGGUGUAGUAAAGCUUUCAUAGCAAAGGAUUUUGUCAGCUAAAAGCACGAGGGAAAAGGCCAAACCACUGUGAUUUACCAGCAUCCCCUGCAAGGGCCUCUUUGCACAAAUGAUCCCUGGGAAUCUGUAUCUGAACUCAUCUCAGAAAGAUGGCUUUUUCAUAGCCUCGAUUACAGUUCAGUUCCUCAGAAGUGUUUCUUUGCAGAGAAGAUCUCAGUUUGAAGCAAAAUUGUUGAAGACCUCAAACGAUACUAAUAAAGAAUAAAAAUGA
ensembl:lncRNA